GGAAGGGUGCGAGAGUGGUUGAAUCGGCCGGUCUCGAAAACCGGAAUGCCCGCAAGGGUAUCGAGGGUUCGAAUCCCUCCCCUUCCGCCG
rnacentral:tRNA from 5 species